UCUCCGUUGGUGAACCAGCGGAGGGAUCAUUACAGGACUCGCAAGACUCCUACAACCCUGUGAACUUAACUAUAAGCACGUUGCUUCGGCGGGUGUCUCGGAGGUGGUUGUCCCCCCCCGAGACGCGAAACCCGCCGGCAGCCUACUAUACUCUGUCUCUGUGCGUUGGCAUCUCGAGUACAAUCAAACAAGUUAAAACUUUCAACAACGGAUCUCUUGGUUCUG
rnacentral:misc_RNA from 1 species